rfam:Tursiops truncatus cont1.244654, whole genome shotgun sequence.
AGGAGCCGGCGGCUACGGCAGCCUUGAGGAGGGGAGGGGAGGGGAGGGGAGGCUGCGCGCACCGGCCAUUUUCAGCUCCGGUGGAGCUAAGUUUGGAAUCUGUAACCUGGAGGCG